AAUGGGCGAAAGCCUGAUCCAGCAACACCGAGUGAGUGAUGAAGGCCUUAGGGUUGUAAAGCUCUUUUAGCAAGGAAGAUAAUGACGUUACUUGCAGAAAAAGCCCCGGCUAACUCCGUGCCAGCAGCCGCGGUAAGACGGAGGGGGCUAGCGUUGUUCGGAAUUACUGGGCGUAAAGAGUGCGUAGGCGGUUUAGUAAGUUGGAAGUGAAAGCCCGGGGCUUAACCUCGGAAUUGCUUUCAAAACUACUAAUCUAGAGUGUAGUAGGGGAUGAUGGAAUUCCUAGUGUAGAGGUGAAAUUCUUAGAUAUUAGGAGGAACACCGGUGGCGAAGGCGGUCAUCUGGGCUACAACUGACGCUGAUGCACGAAAGCGUGGGGAGCAAACAGGAUU
rnacentral:rRNA from 1 species